rnacentral:rRNA from 1 species
CAUACGACUCUCGGCAACGGAUAUCUCGGCUCUCGCAUCGAUGAAGAACGUAGCGAAAUGCGAUACUUGGUGUGAAUUGCAGAAUCCCGUGAACCAUCGAGUCUUUGAACGCAAGUUGCGCCCGAGGCCUUCCGGYYGAGGGCACGCCUGCCUGGGCGUCACGC